UACGUAGGGUGCAAGCGUUGUUCGGAAUUAUUGGGCGUAAAGCGCGCGUAGGCGGUAACUCAAGUCGGAUGUGAAAGCCCUUGGCUUAACCGAGGAAGUGCAUCCGAACUGAGUCGCUAGAGUUUGGAAGAGGCGAGUGGAAUUCCUGGUGUAGCGGUGAAAUGCGCAGAUAUCAGGAGGAACACCAAUGGCGAAGGCAGCUCGCUGGGACGGUACUGACGCUGAGACGCGAAAGCGUGGGAGCAAACAGG
rnacentral:rRNA from 1 species